rnacentral:rRNA from 1 species
UCCGUAGGCGGGCUAAUAAGUCAGGGGUGAAAUCCCACAGCUUAACUGUGGAACUGCCUUUGAUACUGUUAGUCUUGAGUUAUAUGGAAGUAGAUAGAAUGUGUAGUGUAGCGGUGAAAUACAUAGAUAUUACACAGAAUACCGAUUGCGAAGGCAGUCUACUACGUAUAUACUGACGCUAAUGGACGAAAGCGUGGGGAGCGAACAGGAUUAGAUACCCUGGUAGUCC